rnacentral:ncRNA from 1 species
UAACCAGCGAUGAAAGAAAAAAGUAAAGACUUUACCUCUAUAGGAGCGAAUUUGGGAUAGUGUGAGCCAAAUAUAGACAAAGUUUUGAAAGGCAUUCUGGAGCUGUUCGAUAAAAGAGAUGCUAGUUUUUAUUAAACUAGAAUUAGGGUGGAACCGCGAUUGUACUAUCGUCCCUAUG